rnacentral:rRNA from 1 species
CAUGCAAGUCGAACGUGAAAGUCCUUCGGGAUGAGUAAAGUGGCGCACGGGUGAGUAACACGUAGGUGACCUGCCUUUUAGAGGGGAAUAACCAGAAGAAAUUUUGGCUAAUGCCGCAUACGAAGCACGGUUUUAAGGCUGUGCUUGAAAGAAUGCCUCUGCAUAUGCAUUCGCUAUUAGAUGGGCCUGCGGGACAUUAGCUAGUUGGUGGGGUAAAGGCCUACCAAGGCGACGAUGUCUAUCCGGUCUGAGAGGAUGAUCGGACACACUGGAACUGAGACACGGUCCAGACUCCUACGGGAGGCAGCAGUGGGGAAUAUUGCGCAAUGGGGGAAACCCUGACGCAGCAACGCCGCGUGAGUGAGGAAGGACUUCGGUCUGUAAAGCUCUGUUAAUGUGGAAAAAUGGCAGUUGGUCUAAUAGGCCGAUUGUUUGAUGGUACACGUAGAGGAAGCACCGGCUAACUUCGUGCCAGCAGCCGCGGUAAUACGAAGGGUGCAAGCGUUGUUCGGAUUUAUUGGGCGUAAAGCGCGCGUAGGCGGACCUGCAAGUCAGAUGUGAAAUCUCGGGGCUCAACCUCGAAACUGCGUCUGAAACUACAGGUCUAGAAUCUCGGAGGGGGAAGGGGAAUAUCGCAUGUAGGGGUAAAAUCCGUAGAUAUGCGAUGGAACACCAGAGGCGAAGGCGCCUUCCUGGACGA